GCUUUCCUGUCGCUCAGUUGGUAGAGCACUGCAUUACCAACGAAAGGGCAGUGGGUUCAAAUCCCAGGGACACA